rnacentral:lncRNA from 1 species
UUUUCCUGCCGAGAGCGAUAUUAGCUAAGGAACAUUCAACUAAAAUACGCAGCCAGAGACGACGCUAAAAGUGACUUCGCUCAAAAUGAACACGUCUUGGAUCUAUCUGUUGGGUGUUCUGCUAUUUUUUGUUCCAAGUCUGAACGCUAAUAAUGCUGCCGGAGGUAGAGUUGGAGAUUGGACCAAGAUGUCCCUGAUGCCGGUGUGUUUCGAGGGCCGUAAUAAUCGUUAUGGACACUUCGUUAACAUGGGUGAAUCAAAAUUGGUUGCUGCCAUCAAGCUUGUCUACAAGUCAGGAAA